GAUGAACGCUGGCGGCGUGCCUAGUACAUGCAAGUCGAGCGAACAGACGAGGAGCUUGCUCCUCUGACGUUAGCGGCGGACGGGUGAGUAACACGUGGAUAACCUACCUAUAAGACUGGGAUAACUUCGGGAAACCGGAGCUAAUACCGGAUAAUAUAUUGAACCGCAUGGUUCAAUAGUGAAAGACGGUUUUGCUGUCACUUAUAGAUGGAUCCGCGCCGCAUUAGCUAGUUGGUAAGGUAACGGCUUACCAAGGCAACGAUGCGUAGCCGACUUGAGAGGGUGAUCGGCCACACUGGAACUGAGACACGGUCCAGACUCCUACGGGAGGCAGCAGUAGGGAAUCUUCCGCAAUGGGCGAAAGCUUGACGGAGCAACGCCGCGUGAGUGAUGAAGGUCUUCGGAUCGUAAAACUCUGUUAUUAGGGAAGAACAAAUGUGUAAGUAACUAUGCACGUCUUGACGGUACCUAAUCAGAAAGCCACGGCUAACUACGUG
rnacentral:rRNA from 1 species